AGGAGAGUUUGAUCCUGGCUCAGGAUGAACGCUAGCGGCAGGCUUAACACAUGCAAGUCGAGGGGCAGCGCGGGGUAGCAAUACUCUGGCGGCGACCGGCGGAAGGGUGCGUAACGCGUGAGCAACUUGCCCGUCACUGGGGGAUAGGCACUGGAAACGGUGUGUAAUACCCCAUAACAUAUGGAUUCACAUGGAUUUAUAUUGAAAGAUUCGUUGGUGACGGAUGGGCUCGCGUAACAUUAGCUAGUCGGCGGGGUAACGGCCCACCGAGGCUACGAUGUUUAGGGGUUCUGAGAGGAAGGUCCCCCACACUGGAACUGAGACACGGUCCAGACUCCUACGGGAGGCAGCAGUGAGGAAUAUUGGUCAAUGGGCGGAAGCCUGAACCAGCCAUGCCGCGUGCAGGAAUAAGGCCCUAUGGGUCGUAAACUGCUUUUCCUUGAGGGCAAUAAGGGUCACGUGUGGCCCGAUGAGAGUAUCAGGGGAAUAAGCAUCGGCUAACUCCGUGCCAGCAGCCGCGGUAAUACGGAGGAUGCGAGCGUUAUCCGGAUUUAUUGGGUUUAAAGGGUGCGUAGGCGGAUUAUUAAGUCAGUGGUGAAAUACCCGUGCUCAACAUGGGCCGUGCCAUUGAUACUGGUAGUCUAGAGUUCCGUUGCCGUGGGAGGAAUGAGUAGUGUAGCGGUGAAAUGCAUAGAUAUUACUCAGAACACCGAUUGUGAAGACAUCUCACGAAGCGGCGACUGACGCUGAGGCACGAAAGCGUGGGGAUCGAACAGGAUUAGAUACCCUGGUAGUCCCCU
rnacentral:rRNA from 1 species